UAGUCAGAGACAGAGCUUCCAGCCACUGGAAAAGCAGGUUGCUGUUCCCUGACUGGCCAGAGCAGGGUCUGCUCCAGGCUAAUGAGAACACCUGACUCCAAUUAACCUGCAAAGAGUCAGGUGAGGCCAUUAAGUUAAUGUGAACACCUGACUCUACUUAAGGCCCUUCUGAUACUAUUAGAGGGCUCACUCCAGUCAGGCUGAGGAGAGCAAGUGCGGCUGAAGGACUGAGUAAUGAUGAUAUCCUCAAGCCAUCACUACUGAUCCAUGAAAGGACCUUCCCUCUUAUGUCAUGACUCCCUACUAUGUGUAAGAGCCUUUGGUGUGGGACACUGUCAAAGGUUUUCUAAAAGUCCAUGUGCACUAUAUCCACAUGGUUGUUGACACACUCAAAGAUUUCUAAUAGAGUGAAUACCAGGGCCGGCUCUACUGUUUUUGCCGCCCCAAGCAGGACGUCUGAAGACAGAAGCUGCCUCCGAUUUGUUGCAGCGGCGCAACCGGCAGAGUAAAGCUGCCACCGAAUUGCCACUGCCGCAGAAAGACGAGUGCCGCCCUGACAGCACACGGACUGCCGCCCCUUUCACAGGGCCGCCCCACGCACGUGCUUGGAAUGCUGGUGCCUGGAGCCAGCCCUGUAGAAUACCAUGUAUCCCUUUUAAUAAAUACUCCUCUAAGUGAGGUCUCUAUCCAAACCAUCUGCUCCUCCACGCAUGUCUGCUUCCUCCAGCCCUGAGUUUAAAAACUCCU